GCCCCUCCCCUUCCCCCACCGUCUUUCACUCAGGUGACGACACACUGGAUUUCAGCGCCAAAUUGCCGCGGCGAGAGUGGCGACCGUCCCACGUGCGUACGUCUGUCUACCUGACAGAAUUACUCGUAUUCGGACAAAAAUACAGACGGGCAGUCGUGGACCUUGUCAUUCAACUUCCUCACUCAUCUUGCAUCCGAUUUUGUAGUCAAGGGAUGAGGCCAAGUGGAGCUAAAAUAUAUAUUCUUGUGGAGGAUAGGGACAUGAUGCAGUGCUGAAUGAGUACCUUGUAUCUUUAUUGAAGUACUUGUCAAUCUUUAUUGUCAAUGUAGCGGUGAAGGAGGAAACGGAAGUGACCAUGGAUGGAUUGGAAAUAAAGAGCAGGCAUUUACAGGGAAAAAAGAAGUACAAUAGAAUUUAUGAAAAGCUAUAGAUAAACAGACUAAGACUUACAAACAACCAAUGUGCAAAAGAAGACAAUCUAUAUGGGAGUUGAUAAUCAGAAGCUAACAAGACUGGAAGUUCAUGAAAUCCGGGAAAAAUAAGUUGAGCUUCGUGUUGGAUUAAUAACACAGACUUAAUGGGCUGAAGGCUUCUUUCAAUGUUGUAUGACUAUAAUUAUUUUAUCAUAUUAGAUGUACGAAUAUUCUAUGUUGUAUUUAGCUUUACAGUCAGUAAUUGUUACCAAUUUAUGGAAUAAAAAGACAAACUAAAAAUUUAGAAAUUCAAGGCAAAUUCUGAAAUUUAUCUGUGAUUACUUCUGAGAAUAUUGAUGGUGUUCUGUUCCUUUUGAUAAAUUUUAUACUAUAGAUCAGAGACUUAGUAGAUUAAAUAAAUUACUAUUCUAUUCUCAAAGCUAAAACAAAGUCUAUGCCAAAAAUGUCUUCCGUAAAUAUGAUUGGUUGUGCAUUGUAUCCAACAAUAACAGGAGACCUGUGCAGGAAAACUUUUAAAGUGGAAAAGCCAUUGCAUUGAGGCAAUUCCACUCUUGCCCUCUGAAGUCUGGGGCCAGUGGUACAAGUAGUGAUCUCAAACUGGGGUUUUCCUUGUUCAGUCGCUGACCAUGACUUCUGUAUCUUGUCGUGCCCUUCACUCUCCACGAAGCUUCAGGGAUCUGCCUUCCUAGCCAUUGGAUCUCACUUGAUCGUAUCCACCCAGUCUACUGGUGCUGACUUCACAUGCUAGGACAGGCAUGUCCCUAUCUCACUGGGGUACGUGUCCUGUUGGUUACCCUCACCUGGUUUAUCUCACCUGUUGAAGUGGUGUACUGGAUUGUGGGCGCUGUUACAUGCAAAUGGCUACUUGGAGCCAUAGAUGAGAGCUGAGUUUUUGGUGGGGCCCAAAGCUGAGUGAACCGCUCCAGAAUAGACAUGACAAGGCCCUUCACCUGAGGUGCUAUCCCUCCCAACACACCCCAUUCACCCCUCCAUACAUUUCAUUAAGAAUUAUUUUGAUGAGGAUGUUAAGAAAUGUCAGAGAAGAAAUGGAAGAUGAAAUAGAUUAGACCACUGGAAUUUCAGGUGAAAGGUUCAUCUAACAUAAUAGUAAUCUUUAAAGUUGAGUAAGUUUGGAUUAUUAAUUAAGUCAAUAUUCAGAAUUUUCAAUGAAGAUACAAAAGGGGGUCUAAGAAAAAGAAAACCAAUAAUGCUGAAGUAAGAUAGAGUAGAUUAAUACUAAAUUUGUUUGUUUGUUUGUUUGUUUAUUUAUUUGAGAUACAGCAUGUAAUAGGCACUUCUGGCCCUUUGAGCCAUAUAUAUAUAUACACACACACAAGAAAUUCUGCAGAUGCAGGAAAUCCAAGGCAACAAACUCAAAAUGCAGGAGGACACCGAAGAAGGGUCUUGGCCUGAAAGAUCGACUGUUUCCAUGGAUGCUGCCUGACCUGACCUACUGAGUUCCUCCAGCAUUUUGUGUAUGUUGCUUUGAAUUUAUGUCUUACUGGAUGGCAAAACAUUUGGUAUCUGUUUCAUACAACAUGCCACUGUACAUGGUUGAAGACAACAUUAGUGAUAACUUUACAUUACAGAGACAUGAUGGUUAAUGAGGUAUUGGAGAAACAGGCAAAGAAAGGACAAUCAAACAUCACCAUUAAACCAUACUCUCCCAUGCUUCUUGUAGAUAGAUAGAUAGAUAGAUAUACUUUAUUAAUCCCGAGGGAAAUUGACACACUCCAGACAGAGCCUGAUAAAUUCCUGAAGAAUGCUAACAGUGAAAAUUUGGGUUGUGACUAAGUCUUGUUCAGUCCAAUUUGAAAAGAAAGCUGAAAGAAAUGCAGAUCAAUCAAAGUAACUAUUACAAUGGUGCAAUCUACAUGAUGGAAUUAUAUGAUGACCUUCCAGCUACCAAAAAUAAAAAGAUGGGUUAUUGAAAAAAAUGUAGUCAUAGGUUGUUCUAAGAAUUAUCUUACAAGGAUUAGUAAGAGUUUAGAAAAGUUCACGUAGAUCAUUUGCUCCUCACUGACAAUUCAGAGGUGAAUACCAAAGAAGACCACGAGAUCAAAGAUGUAUCUGAAAUAAAUCCCACAAUUGUUCAAGAAGAGUCAACAUGUAAUAUUCUCAACAAAUAAGACAAUAUUCUUUAAUGUAGACAUAGAACAUCCUGGUAAAAUAUCUGGUGAAACUGUAAGCUCAAUACAAGUAAUACCACCUCCACUGCAAAGAUCACAGAGAGUGUGAACAUCUGCACUUUGCAAAUUUGUAAAUUUCAUAAAUAGGUUAAAUCAGUUUUAUGUUUUACUAGGAGUGAGAGCAGUGUAAUAUUUGUAAAUAUGUCAUAGCAUUUUGAUGUAUUAUGAGCAUGCUGAGUACAUAGAGAAUCUGUGAAGAA